UACGUAGGGGGCUAGCGUUGUCCGGAUUCAUUGGGCGUAAAGAGCGUGUAGGCGGCCAGGUAGGUCAGCUGUGAAAACUGGAGGCUUAACCUCCAGACGUCGACGGAAACCGCGUGGCUAGAGUCCGGAAGAGGAGAGUGGAAUUCCUGGUGUAGCGGUGAAAUGCGCAGAUAUCAGGAAGAACACCAAUGGCGAAGGCAGCUCUCUGGGACGGUACUGACGCUGAGACGCGAAAGCGUGGGGAGCGAACAGG
rnacentral:rRNA from 1 species